rnacentral:rRNA from 1 species
UACGUAGGGCGCAAGCGUUAUCCGGAAUUAUUGGGCGUAAAGAGCUCGUAGGCGGUUUGUCGCGUCUGCCGUGAAAGUCCGGGGCUCAACUCCGGAUCUGUGGUGGGUACGGGCAGACUAGAGUGAUGUAGGGGAGACUGGAAUUCCUGGUGUAGCGGUGAAAUGCGCAGAUAUCAGGAGGAACACCGAUGGCGAAGGCAGGUCUCUGGGCAUUAACUGACGCUGAGGAGCGAAAGCAUGGGGAGCGAACAGG